rnacentral:rRNA from 1 species
UACGUAGGUGGCAAGCGUUGUCCGGAAUUAUUGGGCGUAAAGGGCUCGCAGGCGGUUCCUUAAGUCUGAUGUGAAAGCCCCCGGCUUAACCGGGGAGGGUCAUUGGAAACUGGAAGACUGGAGUGCAGAAGAGGGUAGUGGAACUCCAUGUGUAGCGGUGGAAUGCGUAGAGAUGUGGAGGAACACCAGUGGCGAAGGCGACUCUCUGGUCUGUAACUGACGCUGAGGAGCGAAAGCGUGGGGAGCGA